rnacentral:rRNA from 1 species
UACAGAGGGUGCAAGCGUUGCUCGGAAUCAUUGGGCGUAAAGGGUAGGUAGGUGGUCUCAUUUGUCUGGGGUGAAAGCCUUGAGCUUAACUCAAGAAGUGCCCCGGAAACGGUGAGACUGGAGUCCUAGAGAGGCUAGCGGAAUUCCCGGUGUAGCGGUGAAAUGCGUAGAUAUCUGGAGGAACACCGGUGGCGAAGGCGGCGUUCUGGACUGUUACUGACACUGAGGAACGAAAGCCAGGGGAGCAAACGGG